UACGUAGGGGGCAAGCGUUGUCCGGAAUUAUUGGGCGUAAAGAGCGCGUAGGCGGUCCGAUAAGUCGGCUGUGAAAGUCAGGGGCUCAACCCUUGAAAGCCGGCCGAUACUGUCGGACUAGAGUCCGGAAGAGGCAAGUGGAAUUCCCGGUGUAGCGGUGAAAUGCGCAGAUAUCGGGAGGAACACCAAUGGCGAAGGCAGCUUGCUACACAAUUAUUGACACUGAGGCACGAAAGCGUGGGGAUCAAACAGG
rnacentral:rRNA from 1 species